CAGUAGGCAUAUAUUAAUAAUUAUAUAGUUAAUAUAGACAUGCAAUCAUAAUUGACUGUAGCACAUAUAAAGCACCCACAAGCUACCGGUGGCUGAAAACACAAUCAUCGCUGGAUGAACAGUGACAAAUUUCCAUUUGAAAAUAAUUCCUUCCACCCUUGCUCUGCAAGUGUAUACUCGUCAGACUUCAUUAAACAUCAUCAGAAGUGUCCACUUAAUUUGAGGGCUGAGGGGAUAGGGUGUCUUUUAAGUGUUUGGAAUGCUGCCCUUGAGUCAUUGUAGAAAAUGUUACAUUUGACAGUACUAUACACAAUGCAUGCGUUUCAUUACCUCAUGUUGUUUCAUCAGACACUGGGCUGAGGACGUGUGGGAGGACUGCAUCACAAAUACAUGGGUUAGAUUAAUCUUAAUCUUUGUCUGCAUUCAUCCUGAAGGCGGAGGGCGCCUCUCAGUAGAGACCGAGGUGGAAAUAAUGGGAUUCGGAUACGUACCGACCUUCUUACAACAAGAGUCAACAGUCUUUGAGCCCAGCCUUGUACCAAAGACAUUUUGAUAAGAAUGCCCCAGUGGACGAGUGGAUGCUGGCAGCAAUGACCCAAGCAAGAUGCAGUACAGCACCAACAACUGUUGCAGCGGGAGCCGCCUAGAGAAGUCCUACAAGGUGCAGAGAUCCGCUGCUGAAAGGACAGCGCUGUUUCAUCUUGGCUGACGGCUUUUAUGAAUGGAAGCAGGAGAAAGACAAGCAGCCCUUCAUCUAUUUCCCCCAGACUCAAGGACCCGCUCACGUGAAAACAAAGGACCAGGAUGAGGGGACACCCUAUAAGGAGGAUACAGACAUGCACGUCUGAAGAAGGCUCUGUAGACCUGGAAGAGGGCAAAGGAGUCUGUGAGUGGAGAGGAUGGCUGUUGCUGACCAUUGCAGGACUGUUUGACUCCCCAUAGUGGAGAUCCCCUAUAGACCUACACUGUGAUCACUCUGGGUACAUCCCCUAUCAUCAAGGCAUCCAUGACCGGAUGCCAGCGAUUCUCGACAGAGGUCAGAAGUUGGCUGGAUUUUGGAGCCCAAGCCCUCAGCUAGCAGUAAGAUGAUGAUGGGCUGGCUAAAGAGCAGCACACCCUCCAAGAGGAAAGAGCCAGACACUGGGAAAGUCAAACAGGAGGGCCACACAGGAGAAACCAGGCCUGAGAAGCAGCCGAAGACUGCAGGGCCUCUCCAACAGUGGCUGCAGGGACCCAGUAAGAAACCCAGGACCAACUGAGUGGUUGGGACAAACAUUGACUGACUUUGAAAAGAGAUGGGAACAGACUGAAGAAUGUAUGUCUUAUUG